GACUCCUCCCCCGACGCAGAUACCGAACGCGCGCGCCCGGCUCCUGCAGGGACGGGCCGGAACAGCCUCAGCCCCGCCCACCUCACGUGGCGGGGAGCGUCCUGCUUUUUGUGAGGCGGAAGGGCCUUGUUUGGGAGCCAGGUGGCUAGGUUCCUGGAAUACUGCAGGCGGGAUGCAGGGGGCUCAAGUUAGUAAAGUGUUACUUUAGGUUUUUGUAUUGUCAAUAGUGUUUCAGAGCAGUGUUGAUCAAAUUAACCACUUUUAUUUUUCUUGUGCCCUUCAUUUGUUUUUGGGGGAGGAAAGGGGGAGGAUAUGUGCCUGUGCCUGCGAUUAGUAUUUCUUCUUCCCUGGCUAUUAAGGAGCAGUCCGUAGUGAAUUAUGUUAAUUUUUAUAUGGACACAGAGCAAUUGUACCUUUUGGGUGACAAAUGGGAGACAGUACUGAAGGGAAUAUUGGCUCUAUCAAGUAAUGAAAUAGGAACAUAUAUAUGCAUAUAUAGCUACCGAUGAAAUGGAGGAAGCAAAGGGCACCUUUAUUUUGCUUUACUCUGCAUUGAAAUCAGUAAAAGAUAUAAUACCAAAGGCACAACACAUGAAAGCAAGAACUGAAAAGCUGGACUUGAUUAAAAUUGAGAACUGGUCUGCUAAAGCCCAAGUCAAGAGAAUGGAAGACAAGAUAUAAACUGGGAGAAAAUCUUUGCAAAAGACAUUUCUGAUAAAGGACUGCUAUCAAAAUAUACGAAGAAGUCUUAAAACUCAAAAGUAAGAAAACAAGGAGCCCAAUUAAAAAAUGGGCCAAAGACCUUAACAGGCAUCUCACCAAAGAAGAUGUAUAGAUGGCAGAGCCACCUAUAAAAGGAUGCUCUGUAUCAUGUCAUCAAAGAAACACAAAUUGAAAUAAGAUAUCACUACACAACUAUCAGAAUGACCAAAAUAUGGAAUAUUGACAAUACCAAAUGCUGAUGAGGAUGUGAAGCGAUAGGAACUCAUAUUUGUUGCUAGUGGGAAUGCAAAAAGGUACAGCCACUUUGAAAGUUUGGUGCUUUCUUACAAAAUAUAAAAAUACUCUUACUCUACAAUUGAACACUUGCACUCCUUAGUAUUUACCCAAAGAAGUUGAAAACUUAUGUCCACAUAAAAACCUACACACAGAUAUUUAAGGCAUCAUUAUUCAUAAUUGCCAAAACUUGGAAGCAGCUAAGAUUUCCUUCAGUAGGUGAAUGGAUAAAUGAACUAUGAUACAUCCAGGCAAUGGAAUAUUAUUCAGCACUAAAAUGAAAUGGGCUAUCAAGUCCUGAAAAAACAUGGAGGAACCUUAGGUGCAUACUGCUAAGUAAAAGAAGCCAAUCUGAAAAGGCUACAUACUGUGUGAUUCCAACUAUAUGACAUUAUGAAAAGGCAAGACUAUAAAGGCACUAAAAAGACCAUUGAUUGUCAGGGGUUGGGGAAGGUGGAGGGAUGAAUAGGCAGAGCCUGGAGGAUUUUUAGGGCAGGGAAAACACUAUGAUAUUAUAAUGAUGGACGUGUGUUGUUAUCAUACAUUUGUCCACACCAAUAGGAUGUAGGACACCAAGAGUGAGCCGUAAUGUAAACAAUUAACUUUGAGUUAUUAUGAUGUAUUAAUGUAAAUUCAUCAUUUAUAACAAAUGUUCCACUUUGGUGAGGGGAUUUUGAUAAUGGAGAGGCUACAUAUGUGUGGGUGCAGAGAAUCUAGGGGACAUCUUUAUACCUUCCUUGCAAUUUUCUUAUGAACCUAAAACUGCCCUUAAAAAACAGUUUAAAACUUUAAAUAAAAUAUAAAAGUUAGUCCUUCAUUCACAAUAGCCACUUUUCAAAUGUGCAAUAGCCAUAUGUGGCUCAUGGCUAUCUUAUGGAACAGUAUAGAAAACCAUUUUCAUCUUCAACAAGAGCUCUAUUGGACAGUCCUGGUUUCAAUCUUUGAUAAAGACACACAUUUGUUCACUCUGAAAUCAUGAGACUCAAAACAACUAUCUGCACCUAACAACUAUACCUUAACUGCAGUAUCAGUUAUUUUGAAUGGGGAAUAAGAAUGAAAGGGGACUAUUUCAAUGUUGGCUAACAUCAUGAUAAAGAGUAGAGGAGCUUUAAGUAAUCUAAUGUAUGAAUAGGAUAAUGGUAAACAGUACAAGUGGCUACUGAAUAAGAGAUGAAAGAUUCCUCUUAAGAACAAACUGUAUGUAGACUUGGAAAAUAGAGCUUCAUUCCUCUAAAAAAACCUUUCUAACAGCUUGUGUCUACAGACUUAAGUCAAAUUUUUGACACGUAUAUUAUGUGGGAAGGACUCAUGGUCCUUCACUACACUAGGUACAUGAUUGUGUAUGGACGCUACACUAGGUACAUGACUGAGAAACCAUCCUCAGAUUCAUUUUAAAUUCAAAGGCUAAUAAAAUAUUCUAACAUUUGUAAUGUGGAUUGAUGGUUUCUUUGAUGAUAUGAGAUGUGAUCCUGUAAAAUUCCUCCAAGGUAAACCAUACUUUUAAUAAAAUUUGAAGACUUUUUCUUUUUUACUAGAAAAUAAAACAAUAAAAUGUGAAGUACUUUUUCCACCUCAACUAGGAAAAUAAACCCAAGUAACUGCAAAAUGUGUAUUCUUAACCAAGUCAUUGCAGAGAAAUUACAAAGACAUUGUGUUAAUAUUGUCACUGAUAGUACCUUACUGUAGUUAGGGAUUUAACAAGCACCUUGAUACCACCAUCAAAAAUGGCAGUUCAAUCUUAUACAUAGAAAGCAUCAAUACCUUUGGAAGCUACUAUGAUUUAUGGGUGAAAGAAAAGCCAAAAGUUCAGAAAAAAGAAGAUGAAAUUGAAGAACUAGAAAUAAGGGAAGCAAAGAAGGUAUAGAGGGUGGAAUAGUUAACAAUACCUCUACGGGGUCAAAGAGAAUGAAAAUAAAUGCAAACCCGUUGACUAUUAGAGCAAAGAGGUUAUGACUUUUAAGAGGGGAUUUUUUUUUCCUGCUAUGAUAGCAAUGGAAGUUAGAUUGUAGGAUACCUCAGGAACAAAUGUGAAUAAUGGGAGCAAGAACAAAGAACUGAUCAAGUAUUAAAUGAAUAGAAGAUAAGUCAGUGAAAAGAGAGAUUACAAUAAUGUUCAAGAGGUAGGCAGCAAUUAUGCAGGGACCAUAGAAUCACAGCGUAUUAGGGCAGGAAAGCCUCUUCAGAUCAUUCAUGCUAGUAUCCACCCACAGUAAUAAUUUCUCUGCAAGGCCCUGGCAGAUUAUGUACGUUUUGUGUGACCACUUGAAGUGAUGAAGUAUUCCCUUCUUUGCAAAGUAGGUUAAUUCAUUUUGGGACAGAUUUAACAGAAAUUCCUUCCCUAUACUAAAGCAAGAUCUAUUUCUUUGUAACUUCUGUAUUCUUUCCUUGAGUCAGCAGAAUGACUCUAAUAUAUCUUUCCCAUGACCACUCUCCAGAUAUUCAGUAUGUCCCUCCUGUUUUCUAUCUCCAAGUUUAGCAUCUAAGAUCCUUCAUUAGAUCUCCUGAAAGAAUUUCCAGACCUCUAGAUAUCCUGGCCAUCUUCUCUUAUUGAACUCUAGUUCGCCAGUAUUAGCUUUCGAAAGUGAUGCCCAGAGGAAUUUAGUAUUUUACACACAGUCUGAAUAGAGCAGAUGACAGAUUAAUUUCCCUAGAUAUUAUACUUCUGUUAAUUGGAUUCUUGGCUUAAAUUGAGCUGGUAAUGAACUGUAUCUAAAUUGCUAUCAAACUAGGUUUAGUCAACUCUGUAUCUGAAAAAAUUAAAUUUAAUUUGAUAAAUUUCACCUUGUUAGCUUUGACCCAUUCAUUCAUUUAUUAUUUCAACAAAUAGUGUUUGAGAUCUACUAUAUGCCAGUCUUUUACCAUGGGUGUACCAAGAAGAGCAAACUGUUCUAACUAGUUGAAAUUAUUUCCAAAAUUAAAUGUCCUUCAACAUUGUUAUUUCUGCCAUCACCUGCCAUCUAUAAGUUUUUAAAAUAUAAUUAAGUUUUUUCAUUCUAGUUAAUAGAAAAAUUGAUUAAGAGAGAAACAAGGAUAUAGUCUGUGAUAAGUUGGUGACACUGGUAUGUUAGGAUUCUAGAUUCAAAAAAUUUUAGAGCUAGAGGGAACUUUAGGGACAUCUGAAAGUCUGAUUUAUUAGUUUUAUAGAGUUAACACAUACCUUUGAAUAUGAUUGUCUUAAAUACCAUAUUUCCCCUUUUGUUUAGGGGAAGAUGGUGGAAUGCCAACUUGUUUAUGGAAUUCCAGAAUUGAAAUUUAUCAGUCUUGGAAAAAACUUUUCAAGACUUACUCUUAAAGAACUCUUGCUGUUCCAUAAUAAUCACCAUUUUCUUUAUCAACAUCCUACAAAGCUAUUUAAUAACUUAUUUUAGAAUAUUUUUUGCUUUCCUAUAUUUUUCUUUUUAUUCUCCUUCCAAAAUGAGAUUUAAAAUUCUUUUUUGAUAUUUGUAGGUUUUGUUGGAUGGGGGAGCAAGUUUUUGUUCAUUGUGACCCUUCAUCUUUAUCAGUAAAGCAAUAACUGGCAUCCCUUCUGCUUCACAUCACUUUAUCAUUGGUACAUAACCUUUGUAGUCUGGCCUAUGGAGUCAAAUGCAUAUACUUUAUAAACUAUAAAAUUACUUAUCUAUUUAUGCUCCCCUUACUCCUCACUAGUGUUGUGACUAUAUUGUCAGAAUUUCAUUUUAGAGCCACAUUUUUGUGAAAGUUGUUCUGCAAAUAUAUAUAUUUAUUCCCAAAAACACUAAGUAGUCUUUUGUUUCCAAGGGAACAAAUUCUAUAUUAGUCUUUUCUGGUUUUGUUCCCCCCCUCUCCCGCCAUUUCUUCACAGUGCUGUAUUUAGAGCCAGACGUAUUAGCCCCAGGCACCAGUUGCUUUCCUGAGUACACUUCUCCACAGUAUAACUGCCAGGCAAAAUGACAAAAAGUCCAAUUCGGAAAGGAACAAGUUAGUGUUCUUGUCAGUGCUUGGACGUUGUUCUCAAAGAAGCUAAAAUUCUUCUAUUUUAUCAACAAAAUAUGAUGUAAAGGACUAUAUUGGCAGUUUGUAUCACUACUAAGGUACUGGUGUGUAGAAUGGUAUGUAGAGUUAAUAGUCAUAGGGACACAUUCUAAAGAAAUGUAUAGUAUCUGUGUUUCCUCCCAAACAAAAAGUCACACUGGCUCAAAUCUCCAGGAAUGAUUUGUGUCUUUCUUCUUCUUCUUGGUACCUUUACACCACUUUCACCUACUUCACCCACGUCUAACACCUAACCUCUGGCAACUGACGAGUGUGUUGUCUGUAUCUAUGAGUUUGUUUUAUUUUAGAUUCCACAUGUAUGUGAAAUAACAUAGGGUGUGUCUUUCUCUGUCUGGUAUCUUUCUUCUUUAUCUCUUGCUCCUUCUCCUCUCUCAAUUUUCUCCUCCUCCUCUUCUUCCUCCAUGUAUUAAUUAUUAGUUACACCAACAAGAUAUAUGUUGUAAAGAGAUUGAAGACUUUAUAGUAGCAGCAGUGAUACAUCUGGAAGUUGUGAAGAGCCACAGCUGGUAUACCUAAUAUUCACCCUUUUAAAUUCCAUUCUGCGAUUGUUUCAGAAAGUAAGUUCUGGUCAAGCUCCUAAAGGUACUUCAAUCAAGAGUAGGUGGUAAAAAUGUCUUCAGAUAUAUAGAUGCACAGUGUAUGUUAUUGCAAAUCUUUACGGCAAUUCUUGUGUUCUCUUAAAUUGAUUUGUUUCUUUGAAUCUUAAAAUCUGUGCUCAUGUUUUAAGCAGAUUGUGUUUAUGAGACAAAUACUAUUGCUGAUAUCUGUUAUUAAUCAUCAUAGUAAGUAUAUCCCUGUGUAAUUUUUACAUGGAUUAAGCACUUAAUGUCUUCCUUAUAUCUGUUUGACCGUAGCAAUUCCAAUUGAUUUCAUUUGGUCAGCAAAUACACAGCACAUAAGCUAACACUCUUCCUUUUAGGACCUAGAGUAGACCACUAAUCAGUUAUACCAUUUGUCUUGCUAAGCCUGGAAAUGCCUCAGAAUCCUUCUCAAACAAUGUUCCAGCCAACUGCUAACAAUGUAUUAAAGUUGGCACUUGCUAUGAAAUAUAUUCCCCAUUCCAGAGCAAGGCCAUACUUCUGAGAAAUAUCCUAAUGUAAAAAGACCUCUGGGCAGUAGCAUCAGAAAUAUAAGGAUCACCAGUGAAGUAUGUCAGAUACUUCUUUGAAUGAGGAAUUGUACCAGGAGAAUCCGAUAUAGAUCCUAAUUUCUCAGGAGCCAGGAAUUGACAGAAGAGAAUUCUGUUUUAGACUUAGAGUAAAUGUUGCAUGGAAACAAAAAAAGAAAACAUACUUUGGGGGUAUAUCUAUAGAUCUCUAAAUUGUCUAUCUGUGUGGCCACCACUCAGAUUCCCCUUAUUCUACUGAGUAGUUUUUUGUAUUGCACAAUGGUGCUUAAUUGUGAUGUCAUACAUGUUUCCUGGAGCUAAUGAUCCAGGAGGUAGUGAAAGGGGACACAUAUGUUUUUAGUUUUGUUUUUCCACAACAUACAGGAAGGAGCUUCUUAAAAGUGGGAGUUCAUUCUUUCCCUAGUGGUUCUUACUGUUUGGUUUCAGGAAACUUUUGUGGUCUUAAACAUUUUGAGGAUCUCUCAAAGAGCUUAUGUAUAUGGGUUAUAUCUAUUUAUUGUGUUAAAAUGGAAAUAAAUUAAAAUAGUUAUGAACAAUGA